CACCCCCCCCCCAGAUUUCGUCUCACCCGAGAGCAAGACUUCCCUCCUAUCUCUCUCUCUAACUCUCUCUGUGCUCUGCGAAGUGCGAUGCCCUAUGCCUCCCUCCCCCAAUUUCCUCUCUCUCUCUCUCUCUCUCUUUGCGCUCUGCCUUUGCGAUGUCCUAGCCCCUCCCGAAAUCACUCUCUCAUCUGCUCUAUCUCUCACUUUGCUAUUUGCGAUGCCAAACGGUGGAAGUGCUUGAGCUUGGGAUCCAAGAGAUUGGAACGUAUUUUCGUUUGGAUAUUAGCUUUUGCUGGCUAUGCUUUAUCAACCUUUAAGGAUCUCUUUCAGUCAGAUCACUUGAAGUUGCUACUUGAUGUGAAAUUAAAUCAUUGAUAAAAGACCAUGCUAAUGAUUUGUAAUUCAUAUAUUAUAAUUUUGUAAUAUAAUAUAUAAAUAACAAAAUAAUGUAAUAUG